GCCAGACUCCUACGGGAGGCAGCAGUGGGGAAUAUUGCACAAUGGGGGAAACCCUGAUGCAGCGACGCCGCGUGAGCGAUGAAGUAUUUCGGUAUGUAAAGCUCUAUCAGCAGGGAAGAAAAUGACGGUACCUGACUAAGAAGCCCCGGCUAACUACGUGCCAGCAGCCGCGGUAAUACGUAGGGGGCAAGCGUUAUCCGGAUUUACUGGGUGUAAAGGGAGCGUAGACGGCAGUGCAAGUCCGGAGUGAAAGCCCGGGGCUCAACCCUGGGACUGCUCUGGAAACUGUAAAGCUGGAGUGCGGGAGGGGCAGGCGGAAUUCCUGGUGUAGCGGUGAAAUGCGUAGAUAUCAGGAGGAACACCGGCGGCGAAGGCGGCCUGCUGGACCGUAACUGACGUUGAGGCUCGAAAGCGUGGGGAGCAAACAGGAUUAGAUACCCGUGUAU
rnacentral:rRNA from 1 species